UGCACUCACUACUGUAAGUCGCUCUGAAUGAGAGCGUCUGCUAAAUGACUCAAA
rfam:Salmo salar isolate Sally breed double haploid chromosome ssa16, whole genome shotgun sequence.